rnacentral:rRNA from 1 species
GAUGAACGCUGGCGGCGUGCUUAACACAUGCAAGUCGAACGAAGCACUUUAUUAUGAUUUCUUCGGAAUGACGAUUUAGUGACUGAGUGGCGGACGGGUGAGUAAUGCAUGAGCAACCUGCCCUGCAGUGGGGGACAACAGUUGGAAACGACUGCUAAUACCGCAUGAUGUAUCUGGAAGGCAUCUUCCGGAUACCAAAGAUUUAUCGCUGUGGGAUGGGCUCAUGUCUGAUUAGUUAGUUGGUGGGGUAACGGCCUACCAAGACUGCGAUCAAUAGCCGACCUGAGAGGGUGACCGGCCACAUUGGGACUGAGACACGGCCCAGACUCCUACGGGAGGCAGCAGUGGGGGAAUAUUGGGGCAAUGGGCGCAAGCCUGACCCAGCAACGCCGCGUGAAGGAAGAAGGCUUUCGGGUUGUAAACUUCUUUUGUCAGGGACGAGGAGAAGACGGUACCUGACGAAUAAGCCACGGCUAACUACGUGCC